rnacentral:rRNA from 1 species
UUCCGGUUGAUCCUGCCGAAGGCUACUGCUAUUGGAGUUCGAUUAAGCCAUGCGAGUCUAAGGGAUCUUCGGAUCCCUGGCGUAAUGCUCAGUAACACGUGGAUAAUCUACCCUCAGGUGGGGCAUAAACCCGGGAAACUGGGGCCAAUUCCCCAUAAAUACAGAUGGCUGGAAUGCUUCUGUAUUCAAAGCUCCGGCGCCUGAGGAUGAGUCUGCGGCCUAUCAGGUUGUAGUCAGGGUCAAGACCUGACUAGCCAGCGACGGGUAUGGGGUGUGAGAGCACUUGCCCAGAGAUGGUUUCUGAGACACGAAACCAGGCCCUACGGGGCGCAGCAGGCGCGAAAACUUCGCAAUGCGGGAAACCGUGACGAGGGAACUCCGAGUGUCUAUGCAUUGCAUAGACUGUUUUUUAGCCUAAAUAGCUAUUAGAGUAAGGGGUGGGCAAGACCGGUGCCAGCCGCCGCGGUAACACCGGCACCCCGAGUGGUAGCCACUAUUAUUGGGCCUAAAGCGUUCGUAGCCGGUUUGGUAAAUUCUUGGGUAAAUCGUACCGCUCAACGGUGCGGAUUCCGGGGACACUACCAGACUUGAGACCGGGGGAGAUCAGAGGUACUUGCGGGGGAGCGGUGAAAUGUUGUAAUCCCGCAGGGACCACCAGUGGCGAAGGCGUCUGAUCAGAACGGCUCUGACGGUGAGGAACGAAACCCUGGGGCGCAAACGGGAUUAGAUACCCCGGUAGUCCAGGGCGUAAACGCUGCUGACUUG